GCGUAAAGCGCACGCAGGCGGUCUGUCAAGUCGGAUGUGAAAUCCCCGGGCUCAACCUGGGAACUGCAUUCGAAACUGGCAGGCUAGAGUCUUGUAGAGGGGGGUAGAAUUCCAGGUGUAGCGGUGAAAUGCGUAGAGAUCUGGAGGAAUACCGGUGGCGAAGGCGGCCCCCUGGACAAAGACUGACGCUCACGUGCGACAGCGUGGGGAGCAACAGGAUUAGAUACCCUGGUAGUCCACGCCGUAAACGAUGU
rnacentral:rRNA from 1 species